CCUACGGGGGGCAGCAGUGAGGAAUAUUGGUCAAUGGGCGUAAGCCUGAACCAGCCAAGUCGCGUGAGGGAUGAAGGUUCUAUGGAUCGUAAACCUCUUUUAUAAGGGAAUAAAGUGCGGGACGUGUCCCGUUUUGUAUGUACCUUAGGAAUAAGCCUCGGCUAACUACGUGCCAGCAGCCGCGGUAAUACGUAGGAGGCAAGCGUUAUCCGGAAUGACUGGGCGUAAAGGGUGCGUAGGUGGUUUGACAAGUUAGUAGCGCAAAUCCGGAGCUCAACUUCGGAACUACUACUAAAACUGUUGGACUUGAGUGCAGGAGGGGCAAUCGGAAUUCCUAGUGUAGCGGUGGAAUGCGUAGAUAUUAGGAGGAACACCAGUGGCGAAGGCGGAUUGCUAGACUGUAACUGACACUGAGGCACGAAAGCGUGGGGAGCAAACAGGAUUAGAUACCCUUGUAGUC
rnacentral:rRNA from 1 species